AGCGAACGCUGGCGGCAGGCCUAACACAUGCAAGUCGAACGAACCUUUCGGGGUUAGUGGCGGACGGGUGAGUAACACGUGGGAACGUGCCUUUAGGUUCGGCAUAACUCAGGGAAACUUGUGCUAAUACCGAAUGUGCCCUUCGGGGGAAAGAUUAAUCGCCUUUAGAGCGGCCCGCGUCUGAUUAGCUAGUUGGUUGAGGUAAUGGCUCACCAAGGCGACGAUCAGUAGCUGGUCUGAGAGGAUGAUCAGCCACAUUGGGACUGAGACACGGCCCAAACUCCUACGGGAGGCAGCAGUGGGGAAUCUUGCGCACUGGGCGAAAGCCUGACGCAGCCAUGCCGCGUGAAUGAUGAAGGUCUUAGGAUUGUAAAAUUCUUUCACCGGGGACGAUAAUGACGGUACCCGGAGAAGAAGCCCCGGCUAACUUCGUG
rnacentral:rRNA from 1 species